rnacentral:rRNA from 1 species
UUCGAUGGUAGGAUAGAGGCCUACCAUGGUAUCAACGGGUAACGGGGAAUUAGGGUUCGACUCCGGAGAGGGAGCCUGAGAAACGGCUACCACAUCCAAGGAAGGCAGCAGGCGCGCAAAUUACCCAAUCCCGACACGGGGAGGUAGUGACAAUAAAUACUGAUACAGGGCUCUUUUGGGUCUUGUAAUUGGAAUGAGUACAAUUUAAAUCCCUUAACGAGGAACAAUUGGAGGGCAAGUCUGGUGCCAGCAGCCGCGGUAAUUCCAGCUCCAAUAGCGUAUAUUAAAGUUGUUGCAGUUAAAAAGCUCGUAGUUGAACCUUGGGCCUGGCUGGCCGGUCCGCCUCACCGCGUGUACUGGUCCGGCCGGGCCUUUCCUUCUGGGGAACCUCAUGCCCUUCACUGGGCGUGUUGGGGAUCCAGGACUUUUACUUUGA